rnacentral:rRNA from 1 species
UCGGGAAUUUUGGGCAAUGGGCGAAAGCCUGACCCAGCAACGCCGCGUGAAGGAUGAAGUAUUUCGGUAUGUAAACUUCGAAAGAAUAGGAAGAAUAAAUGACGGUACUAUUUAUAAGGUCCGGCUAACUACGUGCCAGCAGCCGCGGUAAUACGUAGGGACCAAGCGUUGUUCGGAUUUACUGGGCGUAAAUGGCGCGUAGGCGGCAAUUCAAGUCAUCUGUGAAAUCUCCGGGCUUAACUCGGAACGGUCAGAUGAUACUGCUUUGCUAGAGUGCAGAAGGGGCAAUCGGAAUUCUUGGUGUAGCGGUGAAAUGCGUAGAUAUCAAGAGGAACACCUGAGGUGAAGACGGGUUGCUGGGCUGACACUGACGCUGAGGCGCGAAAGCCAGGGGAGCAAACGGGAUUAGAUACCCCCGUAGUCCCUGAGCGGGCUGGCAAGGCGCAU